CCGACGGUGAGGGAUGAAGGCUGGGGGCGCAAACCGGAUUAGAUAGCCGGGUAGUCCCAGCAGUAAACGAUGCCAGCUAUGUGUUGCUGGAACCAUGGGUUCCAGCAGUGCCGAAGGGAAGCCGUGAAGCUGGCCACCUGGGAAGUACGGUCGCAAGGCUGAAACUUAAAGGAAUUGGCGGGGGAGUACCACAACCGGUGGAGCCUGCGGUUUAAUUGGAUACAACGCCGGGAAUCUUACCGGAGGGGACAGCAGUAUGAAGGCCAGGCUAAAGACCUUGCCAGAUCAGCUGAGAGGAGGUGCAUGGCCGUCGCCAGUUCGUACCGUGAGGCAUCCUGUUUAGUCAGGCAACGAUCGAGACCCGCAGUCUUAUUUGCCAGCAUGCCCUUUGGGGUGUAUGGGUACAAUAAGACGACCGCCAGCGCUAAGCUGGAGGAAGGAGCGGGCUACGGUAGGUCAGCAUGCCCCGAAUCCUCCGGGAUACACGCGGGCUACAAUGGUCAGGACAAAAGGUACCGACCUCGAAAGAGUGAGGUAAUCCACAAACCUGAUCUCAGUCCGGAUCGAAGGCUGCAACUC
rnacentral:rRNA from 1 species